GUAAGUCGCUAGGGGUGCUGUUAAGCUGAGAUGAUACCCUUUGAACCUGAACAAGAUAAUACUUGCGCAAGGGAAGUGAAAUAAUGCAAAU
rfam:Lactobacillus amylolyticus DSM 11664 contig00097, whole genome shotgun sequence.